GCAUGUCUAAGUAUAAGCAAUCUAUACUGUGAAACUGCGAAUGGCUCAUUAAAUCAGUUAUCGUUUAUUUGAUAGUACCUAAUUACCUGGAUAACCGUGGUAAUUCUAGAGCUAAUACAUGCUAAAAACCUCGACUUCGGAAGGGGUGUAUUUAUUAGAUAAAAAACCAAUGCCCUUCGGGGCUCCUUGGUGAUUCAUAAUAACUUAACGAAUCGCAUGGCCUUGUGCCGGCGAUGGUUCAUUCAAAUUUCUGCCCUAUCAACUUUCGAUUGUAGGAUAGUGGCCUACAAUGGUUUCAACGGGUAACGGGGAAUUAGGGUUCGAUUCCGGAGAGGGAGCCUGAGAAACGGCUACCACAUCCAAGGAAGGCAGCAGGCGCGCAAAUUACCCAAUCCCGACACGGGGAGGUAGUGACAAUAAAUACUGAUCCAGGGCUCUUUUGGGUCUUGGAAUUGGAAUGAGUACAAUUUAAAUCCCUUAACGAGGAACAAUUGGAGGGCAAGUCUGGUGCCAGCAGCCGCGGUAAUUCCAGCUCCAAUAGCGUAUAUUAAAGUUGUUGCAGUUAAAAAGCUCGUAGUUGAACCUUGGGCCUGGCUGGCCGGUCCGCCUCACCGCGUGCACUGGUCCGGCCGGGCCUUUCCUUCUGGGGAACCGCAUGCCCUUCACUGGGUGUGCCGGGGAAUCAGGACUUUUACUUUGAAAAAAUUAGAGUGUUCAAAGCAGGCCUAUGCUCGAAUACAUUAGCAUGGAAUAAUAGAAUAGGACGUGUGGUUCUAUUUUGUUGGUUUCUAGGACCGCCGUAAUGAUUAAUAGGGAUAGUCGGGGGCAUCAGUAUUCAAUUGUCAGAGGUGAAAUUCUUGGAUUUAUUGAAGACUAACUACUGCGAAAGCAUUUGCCAAGGAUGUUUUCAUUAAUCAGUGAACGAAAGUUAGGGGAUCGAAGACGAUCAGAUACCGUCGUAGUCUUAACCAUAAACUAUGCCGACUAGGGAUCGGGCGAUGUUAUCUUUUUGACUCGCUCGGCACCUUACGAGAAAUCAAAGUUUUUGGGUUCUGGGGGGAGUAUGGUCGCAAGGCUGAAACUUAAAGAAAUUGACGGAAGGGCACCACCAGGAGUAACCAGGACGGUUCAUUGCAGUCUCUGCUCCUUAUAGCAGCCCGGGAAGGGUUGGUGGUGUCCAUUCAAUGCUAGCCGUCCAAGCGAUGGCAACAUCUAUAACGUGCAGGGAAAUCCUAAUGCGCCUCCUCCUAAGCUGAUGGUCGAAAGACCUCAGUGGCCAGACUACCUGGGUAUGGGGACAUGAGAGGCGAUGUUACAAUGGACAGCCUGCAGCCACCCUCCUAAGUCAGUGAUGAUAGGGAGUCGGUUCAGAGACUUGACGUAGAUGGAUUCCCCUGGCGAUCAGCGUGAUCCGGCCACGGGAAUUUAAGAUAAAGUCCGUUGCU
rnacentral:rRNA from 1 species